rnacentral:rRNA from 1 species
AAUAUAGGACAAUGGGGGCAACCCUGAUCCAGCCAUGCCGCGUGUGUGAUGAAGGUCAUCGGAUUGUAAAGCACUUUAAGGUGGGAGGAAGGGCUUUAGGCUAAUACCCUGAACUUUUGACGUUACCAACAGAAUAAGCACCGCUUAACUCUGUGCCAGCAGCAGCGGUAAUACAGAGGGUGCAAGCGUUAAUCGGAAUUACUGGGCGUAAAGCGCGCGUAGGUGGUUCAGAAAGAUGGGUGUGAAAUCCCCGGGCUUAACCUGGGAACUGCUUUCAUAACUGCUGAGCUAGAGUACGGUAGAGGGUAGUGGAAUUUCAUGUGUAGCGGUGAAAUGCGUAGAUAUAGGAAGGAACACCAGUGGCGAAGGCGACUACCUGGACUGAUACUGACACUGAGGUGCGAAAGCGUGGGGAGCAAAC